CAAUUAACCACCACUGUCCUUCCUGUAACUCAAAAGUUUAACUUCCAUUAAAAUUCAAAACUUCUGGAGGAGGCAGCAACUGUGGUGACUUCAGUCAUGGAGGCGGAGUGAUUCUGUAGAGCAAGGAAAACAUACAGUCUCAGAGCUGGGAACUAAAACAUCAUUGGAGCUGUGAAGAUCUGGAGGCAGCUGUGCUUGCCGAAAGACAUCAGGAAGGUCAACUGUAGAAGCCACGGAGUUGAAAUCAGAUGCAAAGAGGCCUAUUCAGACAAACAGGCCUCUAAAAGAGAAGCAUAUGUAUUCUUUGGAGGAUUGCUGCUUAGAAGUCGGGAGCACGGGGAAUGACGACUCAGACUGGAAUCUGGGAAAGUCAGUGAGCUGUGGCUUUACACAGAGGACAUGAAAUGGAAGAAGUAGAAGGAAAAAGGCUGACCUACCAAAAA